CGAGUCUUAACUGGGCGUUAAGUUGCAGGGUAUAGACCCGAAACCCGGUGAUCUAGCCAUGGGCAGGUUGAAGGUUGGGUAACACUAACUGGAGGACCGAACCGACUAAUGUUGAAAAAUUAGCGGAUGACUUGUGGCUGGGGGUGAAAGGCCAAUCAAACCGGGAGAUAGCUGGUUCUCCCCGAAAGCUAUUUAGGUAGCGCCUCGUGAAUUCAUCUCCGGGGGUAGAGCACUGUUUCGGCAAGGGGGUCAUCCCGACUUACCAACCCGAUGCAAACUGCGAAUACCGGAGAAUGUUAUCACGGGAGACACACGGCGGGUGCUAACGUCCGUCGUGAAGAGGGAAACAACCCAGACCGCCAGCUAAGGUCCCAAAGUCAUGGUUAAGUGGGAAACGAUGUGGGAAGGCCCAGACAGCCAGGAUGUUGGCUUAGAAGCAGCCAUCAUUUAAAGAAAGCGUAAUAGCUCACUGGUCGAGUCGGCCUGCGCGGAAGAUGUAACGGGGCUAAACCAUGCACCGAAGCUGCGGCAGCGACACUAUGUGUUGUUGGGUAGGGGAGCG
rnacentral:rRNA from 1 species